ACUCCUACGGGAGGCAGCAGUGGGGAAUAUUGGACAAUGGGGGAACCCUAGCAUCCAGCCAUGCCGCGUGUGUGAAGAAGGCCUUCGGGUUGUAAAGCACUUUCAGUGGGGAGGAAAGGUUGUUGGUUAAUACCUAACAGCUGUGACGUUAGCGACAGAAGAAGCACCGGCUAACUCCGUGCCAGCAGCCGCGGUAAUACGGAGGGUGCGAGCGUUAAUCGGAAUUACUGGGCGUAAAGCGCAUGCAGGUGGUUUGUUAAGUCAGAUGUGAAAGCCCGGGGCUCAACCUCGGAAUUGCAUUUGAAACUGGCAGACUAGAGUACUGUAGAGGGGGUA
rnacentral:rRNA from 1 species